AGGACGUUCGGAAAGGGAAAGCUCCGGAGAAGUUAUUUUGGAGCUCGUGUGAUUGGCCUACAGGUCCGGGCACUAGUAGCCAGCGUUGAUCGAGCUUGGAGCAGUCUGAUCCGGAGACGGGGGUGAGCGCACGGCGUUUUGUACUAUUUCAGUCUCCAUCUGUAUAUAUAGAC